UACGGGGGGUGCAAGCGUUAUUCGGAAUCAUUGGGCGUAAAGCGCAUGUAGGCGGUCAGGUAUGUCAGAUGUGAAAGCCCGGGGCUUAACCCCGGAAGUGCAUUUGAAACUGCCUGGCUUGAGUCUCGGAGAGGAAAGUGGAAUUCCCAGUGUAGAGGUGGAAUUCGUAGAUAUUGGGAGGAACACCGGUGGCGAAAGCGACUUUCUGGACGAUGACUGACGCUCAGAUGCGAAAGCGUGGGUAGCAAACAGG
rnacentral:rRNA from 1 species